CGCCCAGCGCGCACCGGUGACUUCACCGGGGGCCUCGGCGGAGACGCAGUUCGACUGACCCCAGAGGGCACAACGGUGCAACGCGCUCGAGUAGUGGAGAAGCAGUUGAGGGCGACGGUGAGGAACCGGUCCCUUGGAUAAGCUUAACUGUCCAGUAAGAUCCAACAGUGUGCCUUUGUGACCCCGGAGCCGGUGUGGCUUGGUGACACUGAAGAAGCCGCAGGCAGCUGACCUGGACUGGAAUCUCUGAAAGAGAUGCUGCAGAAGAUUCCAGGGUGCAAGAGAACAGCCCUCCAAAGAGCAGAAGCAUGUUAGAAAUUCUGGACAAGCUGUAUACAGGAUAAUCUCCAGUCCACCUCUCCCCCCUUCUCUGAACAUUAUACACAGAAGUGGCCAGUCUGGACAUAAUCAGAGAAAACUGAUGCCAGCUGAACAGCAUUCAACGUACCAUGCAUUUACUGGCACAAUAGGAAUCAUGUUUUGUGUUCUAUGUUCUGUCCUGUGGUGUUUGUCUUGUGGCCGGAAUUUUUGUGUUUAAUAUUUUUAUAAAAUAGUCUAGUUUAAAAUCAAACAAAAAGAUUAAAUUAAAAUGCAGAUAUUUGUUUUGUUCAACUUGGAAUACAAAGUGUUUGGAUAAAUCAGGAGAAUGUAAUAUACUAAAGUCUAAUGCAUUUCCUUAAGUAAAGAAAAGAAAUUUCAUUGGCCAAACUGUUAAUUGCAAAAAUUGUUGUUAAAAUUUGCAUACCAACAGUCUUUGAAAGCAAAGACAUGAAAAGUUAACCCACUCCCCAUAUUGUACAUGGGAUCUUUUUGGCUACCUCAGAUUUCUAGCCAGAGGGCUGGGGAUGGUGAAAGGCUAUUGGACUAGAGGUUGUAUUGAGUGAACUCCUCAAAGUGGGUGUGCUUGUCCUGGCUUGUUGCUCCAAAGCUCUGUAAUAAGGUUAUUUUAGCAAAAGGGUGUGUGUGGCAUAUAUUAAAUAAUAAGACUAAUGUACUGUAUAAUGACAAUGUUUAUGUCUUCAUUGUUGGGAAGAAGGUGUAUAAGUAAAAAGUGGAAGUUUCCUUUGCAGGUUAAAAGAAGCCAAGAAGGGAAGAAGGACAAAGAACAGAAUGAAUUAACUGAAAAAAAAAUAAAAUAAAAUAGCAAGCUCAGGCUAUAGAUAAGAUACUGACUCCAUUCAAGAACACUGCUCACAGUUAAGACUUGGCUAACAACCAGGAAAAGGAGGGCUUGAAUUUGCCCACGCAGCUAUGAGAUUUGCAAAACAUUGCCAGGCACUAAUGAAAUGUGUUAAGUUUCUUUUCUCACAGGUAAAGAAGCGCUACCCAAAGACCCUAGCAGCCCUACCACUCUUUGGAACCAGGAGACGGGAUUGAUGUAAAGGUCCACCGACGAAAGUCUGCUCUGGCUCCACCCUGG